rnacentral:rRNA from 1 species
UACGUAGGGUGCAAGCGUUGUCCGGAAUUAUUGGGCGUAAAGAGCUCGUAGGCGGCUUGUCGCGUCGGCUGUGAAAACCUGGGGCUCAACCCCGGGCCUGCAGCCGAUACGGGCAAGCUAGAAUUCGGUAGGGGAGACUGGAAUUCCUGGUGUAGCGGUGAAAUGCGCAGAUAUCAGGAAGAACACCGGUGGCGAAGGCGGUUCUCUGGGCCUUACCUGACGCUGAGGAGCGAAAGCGUGGGGAGCGAACAGG